AGAAUAAAUACCAAAUAACGAGGAUAAAAAACACAGGUGAUCUAGACCUGCUGAGAUGAGAACAAAAUACAAUGUAUCCCUUAAAAAGAGCAAAUAUAAUCCUACAGCAAUACAGAAUGCAUAAAGGGGUCAGAAGGAUUAACUCAGACACUAUGUGAAAAACAACAAAGUGUCAGAGUAUUAUCCCUACCAGACCCAGAUACAAAUAUAACAACUGUAACAAGUAAUACUCAAUAAAGUGUAUACAGAAAAGUACCUUUCCUCGGUGUGGGCCCCCCACCGAGGUACAUACACAAAGCGUGUAGAAAAAAUAAAAAAAUGAUGAAUAACACGGGCUGGAAGCGGUAGUGAAAUAUUUGAAGAGAUGGUAAAAUCCAGCAGAUGGCAUACAGGGUUCCUCAAAAUGCUAUAAAGUAUAUCGCGGUCGGGAUCUUCAAAAAAGACCGCGAUAUAUACUGGACUCACUCACUGCCGCAGCUCGUUAAAGCUUCAAUACCAGAUAAGUUCAUCCGAU